CUUGUACCCGAAGUCGCCCUUAUAAGGUGCCGAAGGUAUGGGUGGUGAUUGGGAGUG
rnacentral:rRNA from 1 species